CAGUUCCGUCUGUCGCAUCGACGUUGGCUAGUUCUGCUCUCAAAGGCGCCGGCUCUGUAGUGAUGUCAGCGCCGUGUGACUUGAGGAGACCCCAUUGCUGUGCGUCUCCCUUCUCUGCUGGACAGAAGGCCGUGUCCUGGGACUUCUCUGACGGCGGGACGCUGCGGCUGUACCAGCGAAUCCCCUUUCUGUUGCCACCCGUGGAACGUUCUCACUCUUCCAAGAAGCCAGGCUAGCAGCUCAUCCCCGCCCCAGCAGCCGCGGGACAGAGCCCAGGUUGGGUGGUGUGUGCGCAAAGGAGGGAUUGUUCUCAUGUCGCAGGACGAGAUGGGGAUGGACCCGCGGUUAGAGGUCACCCUCCCUGGGGCGUCAGGAGAGCAUUUGUCCUUGAAACACGCUGGCAGAAAAUGUUCCAAGGAAGCCUUGGCUGGUGUUCGUGAGGAAGAGCUGGAUUAAAUGGUGUUCUGAUAAAAUGUU
rnacentral:sRNA from 1 species